UAAUAUUAUUUAUUAAUUAAUUGUAUUUAGUUAUUUUAAUAAAUUAUUAUAAUUAUUUAGUAUUAAAAGUAUAGAAAUAUUUAUAUUAUAAUGUACUGUAAAGGAAUAAAAUAUUAAUUAUAUAAUAGUAGAAUUAUAUAUUCGUACCUUUUGUAUAAUGGAUUAAUGAUAGAUUUAAUUUAAUUAAAAAGUCUCGAAGUAAAAGGAUUUACUUAAUAAUUAAGUUGUUAACGUGGUAAAGUUAUAAUUUUAUUAUUAAGUGGUAAUGAAAUGUUUUUCGAUUUUUAUGAUAGCUAGUUUAUAGGUAUAGAAUAUUUUAGUAUUAUAAUAUUAAUAUUAUUAGUAGUAGUUUAAUAUUAUUUAAUUUAUAAGGGAUAAGCUUUAUAUAAAAAUAUAGAAUUGUAUAAAUUUUUUUAUUAUUUUAAGUAGAAUUAAGAUUGUUUUUCUUAAUAAUAAUAUAUAAUUUGUUAUUGUUUGUUUAUUCAGGUUAAGUACUUAUAAAUAUUUAUUAAUUAUUAAUAAAUAAAUAUAAUGUUAAUAUGAGUAUUUAAUAUAUUAAUUAGUUAUAGUUGUAAUAAAUUUGUAUAAUUAUAUAAUAAUAUUAAUAAUUAAAUAAAAUAAAGGAAUUCGGCAAAUAUAAAUCUCGCCUGUUUAUCAAAAACAUCUCUCUUUGUAAUUAAUAAAUAAAGAGUUGGGCCUGCUCAGUGAUGUAAAUUUAACAGCUGCGGUAUUUUAACUGUACUAAGGUAGCAUAAUAAUUUGCCUUAUAAUUUGAGGCUAGAAUGAAUGGUUUGACGAAGGUUUAUCUGUCUCUAUUUUAUUUAUUAGAAUUUAAUUUUUUAGUGAAAAAGCUAUAAUAUUUUAAAGGGACGAGAAGACCCUAUUGAGCUUAAAUUUAAUUACAUAAUUUAAUUAUGUUUUGAUAAAUUUUAAUUGGGGUGAUUAAGGAAUAAAAUUAUUAUAUAGUAACUUCCUUAAUAGUUAAUACUGUUGGGUUAAAUAACCAAUAAUAUUGCAUAUAAUAAAGUUACCAUAGGGAUAACAGCGUAAUUUAUUUAGAGAGUUCUUAUUGAAAAAUAAGAUUGCGACCUCGAUGUUGGAUUAAAGUAACCUUAAGGUGCAGAAGCUUUAAUAGGUAAAUCUGUUCGAUUUUUAAAACUUUACAUGAUCUGAGUUCAGACCGGUGUAAGCCAGGUUGGUUUCUAUCUUUUAAAUAUGAAGAUUUUUUUUUUAGUACGAAAGGACCAAAGAAGAUAAUAUGAUUAAUUU
rnacentral:rRNA from 1 species